GACGAACGCUGGCGGCGUGCUUAACACAUGCAAGUCGAACGGAAAGGCCCUGCUUUUGUGGGGUGCUCGAGUGGCGAACGGGUAAGUAACACGUGAGUAACCUGCCCUUGACUUUGGGAUAACUUCAGGUAACUGGGGCUCAUACCGGAUAGGAGCUCCUGCUGCAUGGUGGGGGUUGGAUAGUUUCGGCGGUGUUGGAUGGACUCGCGGCUUAGCAGCUUGUUGGUGGGGUGGUGGCUUAACAAGGCUUUGACGGGUAGCCGGCCUGAGCGGGGGACCGGCCACAUUGGGACUGGGAUACGGCCCAGGCUCCGACGGGAGGCAGCAGUGGGGAAGAUUGCACAAUGGGCGGAAGCCUGAUGCAGCCACGCCGCGUGCGGGAUGACGGGCUUCGGGUUGGAAAACGCUUUCAGCAGGGGCGAAGCUUGUGGUGACGGUACCUGCAGAAGAAGCACCGGCUAACUACGUG
rnacentral:rRNA from 1 species